GCUCUUGUUUCCCAUCAGCCUCUGGGUCCAAACUAACCACAGGUCUCUGGGUCCUUUUCCGGUGUCCUUAAGGUUCUUGGACUCUGCAUGUGCUGCCAGGUUGCCAGAUUUCGAAGAAGGAGUUUGAAGAGGAGAAAAGGAUUUUUGCAUGUUUAGAAAUCAAGGUUCAGGAGAAUCUUGACAGUGAAUGUGUCUCAUUACAUUGAAUAACAGCUACAGGAUGUUCGAGAGCUGAUGGAGUCUCGCUCUGUCGCCCAGGCUGGAGUGCCGUGGUGCGAUCUUGGCUCACUGCAAUCUCCGUCUCCUGGGUUCACGCUAUUCUCCUGCCUCAGCCUCCUGAGUAGCUGGGACUACAGGUGCCCGCCACCACACCCAGCUAAUUUUUUUUGUAGUUUUAGUAGAGACGGGGUUUCACCAUGUUAGGAUGGUCUCGAUCUCCUGACCUCGUGAUCCACCCACCUCGGCCUCUCAAAGUGCUGGGAUUACAGGCAUGAGCCACCGUGCCUGGCCCUUCUUUACCUAUUUCUUAAGGAUACAUUUCUAGAAGUGAAGUUUUGGGUAAAGAAUUUGCCCCAAAUGCCU
rnacentral:sRNA from 1 species